CAAGAAAAGAUCAGAACCCCUUUUCCCUCCCCUAAACCUCCCGCCCCUCUCUCUCCGCCUUCGAUUUUUCAAAUCAUUCAAUCCGGGUCGGACAGUUCCUCACCUCUUCUGCGCUUCUUCCAGAUCUGUCUCAUGGACGCCGUAUAUACUGAUCACGAUCGCCGUUUUAGCCGUCUCAGCCUCAUCGAUUUCGCUUCCGAGGACGAUUUGCUAAUCUCUUCUCCUUCCUGCGACUUCCAUGACGCCAAUUCUUUAGGCUUUGCAAAGGAGGAUGAGGAACAGGACAAUUUUGAACGAUUAGAGACUGUGGAUUCUAACAGAAUAGAGGAAAGAACAGAUGGCUUCGAACAGAGAGAGGAUGAACCUCAAUUACUCCCAUCUUCGGAACCGGAAAGGAUCGAAAGAAAUGGGAAAUAUAACUUGCGUAAGAGUUUAGCAUGGGAUAGUGCUUUCUUAACUGGUGCAGGGUUUUUGGAUCCUGAAGAGUUAACUAGCAUGAUUGCACCAGUGGGCAGGCAUGAAAAACGUGUAUUACCCAUAAUUCCAGAAGAUGUUCUGAAAUCUUCAGAUUCAAUUUCUACAUUGGGUAGUGAAAUUAUGCCAUUGGAAAGCAUUGAGGGCAAUUUAUUCGAAGAUGUUAGGGCUUCAAUUCAGAAAUCUAGUAGAACAAUUGGGAAAUCUAACUCGAGGAUUAAAGUUGAAUCCGGGCGACAGGGAGCACUAAAACUGCCUUCUCCAGGACGGCUUGAUCUUACUUCACAAAAUAAGAUAAAGGACGGGUCUGCGUCCAGUAAGCAAAGUGAUGGGUUGCAAGGACCUAGGAGAACCACUAAGCAGAAUUCUUCACAACCACGCGAGGCACAGCAACUGAAGGCAAUGGGCAAGCUUCCUUCAAACUCAACGUUGACCAAGAGGCCUUCACUUGCCGCCACUGUGAAUGAUAGUACUACGAGUGGUGCAGGAUCUGCAGAUGGGCAGGAUUCAGUUGGUCUUAGAUCUACUACACACAAGCUUUCCCGACUUCCAACUGCCGGCACGAGGGAGCAAAAGACUUCCUCUGAAGUUUCUAAAAGUUCAUCUAUCAAGGUCGGUAAAUCUUCCUCCAAAGAUGCAAGGAUAAAAACAGAUUGUAAGGCUUCACCUUCCUCUGGUAGCACUCAGAAAACACAAUCUCGAGUUGCACCUAAGGUCAAGACUCGUAUUGGGAAUUCUCGUCUCCCUUCCUACUCGAUAUCUCAAAGUAAGCAUUCUUCAGGAAUAUCAUCUGCUAGCUCUAAAAGUGAGUGGUCGACAGAGUCGUCAUCAAAUUCCACUCAUGAACUUCAAUCUAAUAGCUCAAGAGCCAGCCUUCACUCAAUUUCGAGCAAAAGAAUCUCCGUAGACAGCGAUGCAUCUCAUGAUGGAAGUAACCCUGCUGUUGGAUCCCAUACUCAAACUACUGGCUCAAUAAAGCCUUCGGGCCUUCGAUUGCCAUCACCUAAAAUCGGGUACUUUGAUGGGGGGAAAACUUCUAUCAUGAAAUCUAAUGUGUCUGUACCUGGUGGCACGACUAGGAUUGGAGCUGGAAAUGUCAGCGCAAUUGGAGGCCAAAAUAAGACCAAGCCUUCGAAGCUUCAACCUGUUACAGUGUUGCCCAAGAGCACAACUCGUGCUGUUAGUCAGCCUAAUUUGAAUUUGAAAUCUCAUAAAACCACUGCAACUAAGAUGUCCAAAACGAAUGAACUCGACCAAGAAGUCAAAGAGCUUGGUUGUGAUGGAUCAAAUACUGAUAUGCAUAAUUCAGAUGUAUGUGCGAUUUCAAUUGCCACGAGGAAGAUGAGCCUAGAAAAUGAAGCAGGAAGUAAUGCAAACGAAACGACAUCAGCGAAUACUGAUGGAGAACUUAACGGAUUACAAAACUUCGGGACCUGAUGUUGAUGGUAUACUUCCAUUUCAGAGGAUCCUUGAAUGUGAUAAGAGAAUUUGUUCAAGAGGGUUCAAUGUAAUACCGUGGAAAGAAUUCAUUACGAAGCCAACUGUAUGCUCUUGCAGAAGCUGCGGCCUCAGAUAUGGAUCAAGUAAGACCCAUCUUGCCAUCUAAGCAGACCGUUCUUAGAACAAACAGUUCUAAUGUUGUGGCCUGUCCAGGUGUGUCCGUCUGGGGUUUCUGGUGGAAUGUGAAGUUCUGCUGUGCUGCAUUUGAGCAUCCGAUACCAAUUACAUGGAGACGUUGAGUGAUCUGAGUUGGUAUUGUGUGUGUCGUCAACUGCUUGUGGGUUUUGGGAACAAGAUUGACCAGUGAUUCGAAUUGGGAUCGUCAUGUUCGUCAUGCUUGUGAGCUUUGUGAACAAGAUUGACCAGUGAUUUGAGUUGAGUAUCAUUGUGUUCUUAAUGCUUCUGAUAGCUUUGGGAACCAGAGUGACCAGUUAUUCGAGUUGGUAUCGUCGUGUUCGCUGUGCUUGUGAGCUUUGGGAACAACAGUUUUGAAAGAUUGAAGAGGUGUUUGGUUACGUUAGUUUCACACCAUGCGGAACCCAGAAAUGGUUGGUAUGUUUGAACCUUGUUAGUUCAUGAAUAGUACUGUAGAUGUUCCUCUUUUAACCAUUUUGCUGAACUAAACAUUUCUUAUUUCACAGAAUGGUGUAAUUGAAUGAUAAUUUUGUAGGAGUUAAUAAAAAAAUAAAUAGAAUUGAUGUACGAA